AUAAUACUCCCUCCGUCUCAAAAUUCUUGUCUUAGAUUUGCCUAGGUACGGAUGUACCUAAUACUAAAACGUGACUUGAUACAUCCGUAUUUAGACAAAUUUAAGACAAGAAUUCUGGGACAAAGGGAGUACUUC
rnacentral:pre_miRNA from 1 species